AUAAAUAUUCUAAAUUCUAUUCCAACAUGAAGCCACAGAGAGCCACAACUCUGCACAACAUUGACUUCUGAGAGAGGAGGAAGGAAGAAACCAGAUAAAGAAAUUGAGGCAGACAGAGGUUAGAGGAUUUGAACUGAUGUUGCCAGGACUUGAAACCAGACAGUGGCUUAUAUUAGAGUCUGUGUUCUCAGCUACCAUACUAUCUGCUGUUCUGCUGAUGACCUGCGGAAAGCUUCAUUCACUGGCAAAAGAGAACAAAGGACCAUGGAAUGUGGAACCUUGCCCAGCCUGCUGCUCAGGAGGCGAUUGCUCAAGGCUGUCUUAUGCAGAGGAGGUCAACAGUUGACCCAUGAACCAUUUAAACUGGAAGGAAGAAUUAACCAAUACCCUGAGAGAUUGACUACAACUACUUUUUCCUGAAAGUUAGAGUGCAGAGUACAGGAGAGGAAGGCCAUUUACUAAUUUUCCUGCUUCCUUCACCAGUCCUCUACCUCUCCAUACCUAAGGUCCUUCACUCAAUAUACUCAAGUCUUCUCUGCUAUGUCUGCAUUCCCACAUGCCACGGCAUAUAAAAGCCUGUGAAGAAAAAACCAACACCUAGAAUUUUUUCCAUCCCUCACCUUUCCUUUGAGAACUCAACAACCCAAGCAACAUGAACCUUUUCCCAAAUACCAUUUAGGAGAAGUCACUGGCAGUUUAAGAAACAGAUUUUUUUAAAAAGUUCCAGGGUGAGACAUCUUCCAACAUAAACUUUAAAUAUCAUUCUUAGCAUCAAAGCAACAAUAUAUUUAGUAUGCUUCAAUCAUUCCCAAGGAGAAAGAUACUGGAAAAUGUGGUUUGAAGUGUAAAUUUAUAGAGCAGAGUCAUAACCGACAGUUAAUAUCUAAUGGUUUCAAUCAAAUUUAUAACAGAGCUGAGUUGGCAGCAAGCAUUCCUGGACCUGUCUCUCCAAUCACAGAGUACCCAGGGACACAGGCAUUUACACACGGACUCCGGGAGCUUGUGCAAUGUGAUACCAACUGCAGUUCUCUUCAUGAACAUAACCUCAGAACCGAAAGGCUUAUAGGUGGAAGAAACAUGUCUUGAGUCUCAGAUAAGACUUGCGGCUUUGGACUUUGAGUUCACACUGGAACCAAUUAAGACUUUGAGGAAGACUAUUAGGAAGGGAUGAUUGUAUUUUGCAUUGCGAGAAGGACAUGAGAUUUGGGGGACCAGAGGCAGA